GGCCAGACUCCUACGGGAGGCAGCAGUGGGGAAUAUUGCACAAUGGGGGAAACCCUGAUGCAGCGACGCCGCGUGAGCGAUGAAGUAUUUCGGUAUGUAAAGCUCUAUCAGCAGGGAAGAAAAUGACGGUACCUGACUAAGAAGCCCCGGCUAACUACGUGCCAGCAGCCGCGGUAAUACGUAGGGGGCAAGCGUUAUCCGGAUUUACUGGGUGUAAAGGGGGCGCAGACGGCAGCGCAAGCCAGGAGUGAAAGCCCGGGGCCCAACCCCGGGACUGCUCUUGGAACUGCGCGGCUGGAGUGCAGGAGGGGCAGGCGGAAUUCCUGGUGUAGCGGUGAAAUGCGUAGAUAUCAGGAGGAACACCGGUGGCGAAGGCGGCCUGCUGGACUGCGACUGACGUUGAGGCCCGAAAGCGUGGGGAGCAAACAGGAUUAGAUACCCCCGUAUG
rnacentral:rRNA from 1 species